UGGUAAAAGGUCUUCUCGAAAAGGAGAAGACGCGGGUUCGAUUCCCGAUAUCCGC
rnacentral:tRNA from 1 species